rnacentral:rRNA from 1 species
CCAUUGACUUGGACAAUUUUUGACAAAUUUGACC